UUAAGGUUAAAGAAGCAGUCUUUGGUCUCAGCUCUUCAAAUUAAUAAGAGGCAGAGGACUCGGAGGUAUCGCUCUGUUCCUGUUGUGUUCGCUGCACAGUCCAAUUUCUUAAAAGUUGUACAAACAGUUUGAAAGGUUGGGAGAGAUGGAAUUGAGGCAGGAACCAAUCUUGUGCCGGAUUCUGUGCCAAGAUCAAUUGCAAGGGUUUCUUUGACAGUAGUUGCAUUGGCUCUUUCACUCUUUGUA